rnacentral:rRNA from 1 species
CAUCGAUUGCGAAAUGCGAUACUUGGUGUGAAUUGCAGAAUCCCGUGAACCAUCGAGUCUUUGAACGCAAGUUGCGCCCGAAGCCGUCAGGCUGAGGGCACGUCUGCCUGGGCGUCACG